rnacentral:rRNA from 1 species
UGGGGAAUUUUGGACAAUGGGCGCAAGCCUGAUCCAGCCAUGCCGCGUGAGUGAAGAAGGCCUUCGGGUUGUAAAGCUCUUUCGGACGGGAAGAACUGGCGGGCUCUAACAUAGCCUGUCGAUGACGGUACCGUAAGAAGAAGCACCGGCUAACUACGUGCCAGCAGCCGCGGUAAUACGUAGGGAGCAAGCGUUGUUCGGAUUUACUGGGCGUAAAGGGCGCGUAGGCGGCGCGGUAAGUCACUUGUGAAAUCUCUGAGCUUAACUCAGAACGGCCAAGCGAUACUGCUGUGCUAGAGUGCGGAAGAGGCAACCGGAAUUCUUGGUGUAGCGGUGAAAUGCGUAGAUAUCAAGAGGAACACCUGAGGCGAAGGCGGGUUGCUGGGCCGACACUGACGCUGAUGCGCGAAAGCCAGGGGAGCAAACG